UUUUUUAUGACUAUGAGACAUGUCUGUUCCUGGCAGUACCAAUCUACUUCAGAGAAGAUGAUGGGCAUUGAAGAAAUUCCACAUGGAGUUUACUUUCUUUGUGGCAAAAGUCAGCAACUGGACAAGAAAGUGCCCUUACCUCAACUGCUGACAGUAUGCUGUCCAAAUGGACACAAAAGAAAGGACUGUCGAACUUUGCCAAGACAAGAACAGCAGCUGGAAGGCCAGUGAUAUGAACAAUAGAAUUUACCAAUGGUAAGAAAAAACAGAAGUUUUAAAAAUACACCCCGAGAGAGGUGAUGAGCAAGUUCCCAAGACGGCACCACAACACUGGAAGGAGCAGGUUUUCUUACGACAGGAGGAUUUAAAGUAAAGGAAGACAGAACGGUAUAUUUAGACAAACUAAAGAAGUUGUGGCCAUGAUCACAUCAGGAAAAAAGAAUCGAAGGCAAAGCAUUGAAAGAUGGAGGAAUGGACAUUAUAGAAAAGGUUAAAUAUCCCGGGCACCUAAGACACAGUUGGAAAGGAUAGCUUGUUUACAUAGCAGACAUGAAGUCUUUACAAGAUUAUUUCAGCAUUUGUCUGUCUGUGUGUGUCUGUGUAUCUGCAUAUACACACAGAUGCCCAUAGAGGGCAGAAGAGGACGUCA